GAUGAACGCUGGCGGCGUGCCUAAUACAUGCAAGUCGAGCGAACAGACGAGGAGCUUGCUCCUCUGACGUUAGCGGCGGACGGGUGAGUAACACGUGGAUAACCUACCUAUAAGACUGGGAUAACUUCGGGAAACCGGAGCUAAUACCGGAUAAUAUAUUGAACCGCAUGGUUCAAUAGUGAAAGACGGUUUUGCUGUCACUUAUAGAUGGAUCCGCGCCGCAUUAGCUAGUUGGUAAGGUAACGGCUUACCAAGGCAACGAUGCGUAGCCGACCUGAGAGGGUGAUCGGCCGCACUGGAACUGAGACACGGUCCAGACUCUUACGGGAGGCAGCAGUAGGGAAUCUUCCGCACUGGGCGAAAGCCUGACGGAGCAACGCCGCGUGAGUGAUGAAGGUCUUCGGAUCGUAAAACUCUGUUAUUAGGGAAGAACAAAUGUGUAAGUAACUAUGCACGUCUUGACGGUACCUAAUCAGGAAGCCACGGCUAACUACGU
rnacentral:rRNA from 1 species